rnacentral:tRNA from 2 species
UGCGUAAUCUGGGAAUCGAACCCAGGGCUCCCCGAUGGCAACGGAGAAUUUUACCACUAAACCAAUUACGC